GAUGAACGCUGGCGGCGUGCCUAAUACAUGCAAGUCGAGCGAACGGACGAGAAGCUUGCUUUUCUGAUGUUAGCGGCGGACGGGUGAGUAACACGUGGAUAACCUACCUAUAAGACUGGGAUAACUUCGGGAAACCGGAGCUGAUACCGGAUAAUAUUUUGAACCGCAUGGUUCAAAAGUGAAAGACGGUCUUGCUGUCACUUAUAGAUGGAUCCGCGCUGCAUUAGCUAGUUGGUAAGGUAACGGCUUACCAAGGCAACGAUGCAUAGCCGACCUGAGAGGGUGAUCGGCCACACUGGAACUGAGACACGGUCCAGACUCCUACGGGAGGCAGCAGUAGGGAAUCUUCCGCAAUGGGCGAAAGCCUGAUGGAGCAACGCCGCGUGAGUGAUGAAGGUCUUCGGAUCGUAAAACUCUGUUAUUAGGGAAGAAAAGAUGUGUAAGUAACUGUGCACAUCUUGACGGUACCUAAUCAGAAAGCCACGGCUAACUACGUG
rnacentral:rRNA from 1 species